UACGUAGGGGGCUAGCGUUGUCCGGAAUCACUGGGCGUAAAGCGCGUGUAGGCGGUCCGGUAAGUCCGCUGUGAAAGUCGGGGGCUCAACCCUCGAAUGCCGGUGGAUACUGUCGGGCUAGAGUACGGAAGAGGCGAGUGGAAUUCCUGGUGUAGCGGUGAAAUGCGCAGAUAUCAGGAGGAACACCGAUUGCGAAGGCAGCUCGCUGGAACGUUACUGACGCUGAGACGCGAAAGCGUGGGGAGCAAACAGG
rnacentral:rRNA from 1 species